rnacentral:rRNA from 1 species
AUGACUGUGUCGCUCCUAACCGGAACGGGGAAGUUCAACAUCAGCGGCGCUGUCGUGGCUAGACCUGCAGGGAGUGCAGGCCAAGCUGCGCCGGGUGCACCGCCUGUUCGACGGACUCAACAUGAAACUGUUGGUGGAGCACGCGGCAACGGCCGAGGAGCGCGCCCGGGAGGAGGGCCGGCUGGACUUCGUGGACAUGCUCCGGUUGGUGGCCUGGAGCAUGCCGGGGCGAGACGGACAACGUGA